ACGUAGGGGGCAAGCGUUAUCCGGAUUUACUGGGUGUAAAGGGAGCGUAGACGGCUGUGCAAGUCUGAAGUGAAAGGCAUGGGCUCAACCUAUGGACUGCUUUGGAAACUGUGCAGCUAGAGUGUCGGAGAGGUAAGUGGAAUUCCUAGUGUAGCGGUGAAAUGCGUAGAUAUUAGGAGGAACACCAGUGGCGAAGGCGGCUUACUGGACGAUGACUGACGUUGAGGCUCGAAAGUGUGGGGAGCAAACAG
rnacentral:rRNA from 1 species